rnacentral:rRNA from 1 species
UACGUAGGGUGCAAGCGUUGUCCGGAAUUAUUGGGCGUAAAGAGCUCGUAGGCGGUUUGUCGCGUCUGCUGUGAAAACUCGGGGCUUAACUCCGGGCCUGCAGUGGGUACGGGCAGACUAGAGUGCGGUAGGGGAGACUGGAAUUCCUGGUGUAGCGGUGAAAUGCGCAGAUAUCAGGAGGAACACCAAUAGCGAAGGCAGCUCGCUGGGACGGUACUGACGCUGAGGCGCGAAAGCGUGGGGAGCGAACAGG